CCCCAAUCCAAAGGUGUUCUUAUUGGCUUUACUCCGGUCCGUUACUUCCGUCUGUUGGUGGUGUUCGUAGAACAUUACAAUUAGUGAAGGGAACAUUGGCAUAGGCACCGAUAAGCUAAGUAGCGGAACUGGAUCUACACUCUACCCCACCUCUUCCCUCUCUUAUUUACAGCAUCUGGUGCCCAAAACCACUUUUCCUGAUCCAUAAGAAGACCUUAGCUAUUUAGAACUCAGAUACACAUGUAUUACCCUGGCAACUUUACAAAAAUCAUUGGAAAACGUUGAAAUUGCACAUAAGAAACUCAUAAAAUUGACUUGUUCAAUAAAGCUAAUUUAUUUUUUAUAAUAUAUGCAUAUUGUAUUUUUUAUAUAUUCUAUACAUGAACAAAACCAAAAGAACAGAGACCGAUAAGCAAUAUAUUAAGGUCUCAGUUUCGGUCUUGGUUCAACUUUGUCAGUUUUGGUUCUAGUGAUUCAAGAACCGGAGCUGCUUGAACGGCUAGACCCUUAAGGGCACAACCUUGAUGCUAAUAGAUAUAUAAUAUGUAAAUAUGAAAGUUGUUUUUUUAUGAGUUUCAAGAAGGAAAUCAAUUAUUCCUGAAUUUGAAAAUUUCGACUACUUUUUGUGUUAACUGUUCUAGUAUUACUUGAAAUAUAUAAGAUUCGCAUUUGUUAUAGAAGAAUCACGUGAUAUUAUAUCCUCCAAAA
rnacentral:lncRNA from 1 species